UGCCAGCCGCCGCGGUAAUACGGGGGAUGCAAGCGUUAUUCGGAAUCAUUGGGCGUAAAGGGCACGCAGGCGGUCUUGUCAGUCAGAUGUGAAAGCCCGGGGCUCAACCUCGGACGUGCAUUUGAAACAGCAAGACUUGAGUACGGUAGAGGAAAGCGGAAUUCCUGGUGUAGAGGUGAAAUUCGUAGAUAUCAGGAGGAACACCAGAGGCGAAGGCGGUCUCUUGGUCCGAAACUGACGCUGAGGCGCGAAAGCGUGGGGAGCAAACAGGAUUAGAUA
rnacentral:rRNA from 1 species